rnacentral:rRNA from 1 species
CUACGGGGCGCAGCAGUGGGGAAUAUUGCACAAUGGGCGCAAGCCUGAUGCAGCCAUGCCGCGUGUAUGAAGAAGGCCUUCGGGUUGUAAAGUACUUUCAGCGGGGAGGAAGGGAGUAAAGUUAAUACCUUUGCUCAUUGACGUUACCCGCAGAAGAAGCACCGGCUAACUCCGUGCCAGCAGCCGCGGUAAUACGGAGGGUGCAAGCGUUAAUCGGAAUUACUGGGCGUACAGCGCACGCAGGCGGUUUGUUAAGUCAGAUGUGAAAUCCCCGGGCUCAACCUGGGAACUGCAUCUGAUACUGGCAAGCUUGGGUCUCGUAGAGGGGGGUAGAAUUCCAGGUGUAGCGGUGAAAUGCGUAGAGAUCUGGAGGAAUACCGGUGGCGAAGGCGGCCCCCUGGACGAAGACUGACGCUCAGGUGCGAAAGCGUGGGGAGCAAACAGGAUUAGAUACCCGGGUAGUC